rnacentral:lncRNA from 1 species
GGACUUAACAAGCAGCUGGAACUUGUUCUCACUGGCGCUAACAGAAAAACAGCUUUAUAAACCAUUGCUGUAUGCUGUUGAACAAAGAUGCCCGAUUCAUGCUUUAAAAGGAGGCUCCUGGAAGAACAGCCUGAAGACACUGUCUCAGAUCAAAAGCAGCCUCAAAAGGACAUCUUUUUCAAAUUCAAUUACUGACUCUGGGGACUUACAUGGAGGAGUUAUGGUUAUGAAGAAGAAAAGAUCAACCACUUGGAUCUGAAGAUGUUUACAGCAUUAAGAUAGAUGGAUUAUACAAGGUCGGAUCCUAAUAUUUUCUCUUCUGAUGAGACAAUUUAAAAAGAUAAGUGCCGAUUUUUACUUUCAGAGUCAUCAGCUCUGUAUUUUUCCCCUUGUCUCCUGACAUUCUCUUGGAUUUGUGGUGUUAAUUACAUUCCACUAACCUUGGCUUCUAGAAUGCCAAGACUCUUAGCUGCUAAGAUCCACAAAUAACAUCAAUUAGAUAAAUGGGGCGUUUCCACUCUCUCAUGCAACCCUGUUGGAUCUGCAAGUGCAGCGCUAAUAACUCCUAGGAUUCUGCUGCAUGGUCCUGACUUCAAAUAUUUUGAGAAUGAAUGUAAAUUAGAGUAUUUUGACUUUUAGUUUGAAUAAUAUAAUCACUAUACAUAUAUGAAAUAUUAAAACUUUGAAAUAAAAAUUGUUCUCAUUUUGAAACUCCA